rnacentral:rRNA from 1 species
ACGGGGGUUGCAAGCGUUGUCCGGAAUUACUAGGCGUAAAGGGCAGGUAGGCGGAUCCAUAAGUUUUUUGUUAAAGGCAACGGCUUACCCGUUGUAAGGCAGGAGAUACUGUGGAUCUGGAAUGCGGUUGGGGAAGACAGAAUUCCUGGGGUAGCGGUGGAAUGCUCAGAGAUCAGGAGGAACACCGAAGGCGAAGGCAGCCUACUAAGACGGCAUCGACACUGAACUGCGAAAGUGUGGGUAGCAAACCG